GAUGAAGAACGUAGUGAAAUGCGAUAAGUAAUGUGAAUUGCAGAAUUUAGUGAAUCAUCGAAUCUUUGAACGCACAUUGCGCCCCUUGGUAUUCCGGGGGGCAUGCCUGUUCGAGCGUCAUUUCAACCCUCAAGCUCUGCUUGGUCUUGGGCCGCGCCGGCGACGGCGGGCCUCAAAAACAGUGGCGGCGCCAUCUGGUUCCUCAGCGUAGUAAUUCUUCUCGCUGUUGGGCCCGGGUGGCCGCUGGCCAGCAACCCCAAAUUUUCUAUGGUUGACCUCGGAUCAGGUAGGGAUACCCGCUGAACUUAAGCAUAUCAAUAAGCGGAGGA
rnacentral:misc_RNA from 1 species